AAGUCGUAACAAGGUCUCCGUUGGUGAACCAGCGGAGGGAUCAUUACCGAGUUUCUACUCUAAACCCUGCGAACCUACCAUUACGUGCUUCGGCGGCCAGCCCCGGGGGGGCGCCCUACGGCCGCCGAUAGUACCCAAAAAUCACUUUUCAGAGUCUUCUGAGUGACAAAAAAAACAAGUCAAAACCUUCAACAACGGAUCUCUUGGUUCUGGCAUCGAUGAAGAACGCAGCGAAAUGCGAUACGUAAUGUGAAUUGCAGAAUUCCGUGAAUCAUCGAAUCUUUGAACGCACAUUGCACCCGGUGGUAUUCCGCCGGGUAUGCCUGUCUGAGCGUCAUUUCUACCCUCAAGCCUCGCUUGGUGUUGGCGGAUCGCCCGCUGCGGCGACCGCUAAAAAUCAACGGCGGUAGCGCCCGUGUCCCCUGUAUAGUACAUUUCUUGCAGCGGUCUGCGGGGGCCCACCAGCCUCGUACCCCACCAAAACGAAAGUUGACCUCAGAUCAGGUAGGAAUACCCGCUGAACUUAAGCAUAUCAAUAAGCGGAGGAAAAGAAACCAACAGGGAUUGCCUCAGUAACGGCGAGUGAAGCGGCAACAGUCCAAAUUUGAAAUCUGGCCCUAGGCCCGAAUUGUAAUUUGCAGAGGAUGCUUUUGGCGACGCGCCUUCCGAGUUCCCUGGAACGGGACGCCUGAGAGGGUGAGAGCCCCGUACGGUCGGACGCCUAACCUGUGUAAAGCUCCCUCGACGAGUCGAGUAGUUUGGGAAUGCUGCUCUAAACGGGAGGUAUACUUCUUCUAAGACUAAAUACCGGCCAGAGACCGAUAGCGCACAAGUAGAGUGAUCGAAAGAUGAAAAGCACUUUGGAAAGAGAGUCAAACAGUACGUGAAAUUGUUGAAGGGGAAGCGCUUGCGACCAGACUCGGGCCCGUAGCUUAGCCGGCGUUCUCGCCGGUGCACUCUGCGGGUCCGGGCCAGCAUCAGUUUGAUACUGGGGAAAGACCGCUGGAAU
rnacentral:rRNA from 1 species